rnacentral:lncRNA from 1 species
UGGUCACGUUAGACGCAAUUCACAACACUUACAUGUCAGGGAUAUUUGAUUUCUUCAUAAGCAGCUCCUGCACUUAUGCUUGGUGAAUUCGAUAUAAUGUUUAGUUGCCGAGUGACUCGAAUGAAACAUUUUUUCUUAAGAGGUCAACAUUUUUAUUGAUCAAGAAGUCACAAGACAAACUGAGUAAGAUUUCGAAAAACAUACUGAUACACACAUAAAAUACGAUUACAAAGAUUUUCAUGAACUUUACAACAUAUAUUGCAAUAAUUCAUAAAUAUUGGCUUUAACAUUUCAUCGUUAAUGCAGUGAGAAAUGUUCUUUAUUUUCAAUUGGCAACGUUUAGAAAAUGAAAGUAUACAACGGAAAAUCAAACAAA